AAACUUUCAACAACGGAUCUCUUGGUUCUGGCAUCGAUGAAGAACGCAGCGAAAUGCGAUAAUUAAUGUGAAUUGCAGACUCAGUGAAUCCUCGAAUCUUUGAACGCACAUUGCGCCCUCUGGUAUUCCGGGGGGCAUGCCUGUUCGAGCGUCAUUA
rnacentral:rRNA from 1 species